rnacentral:rRNA from 1 species
UACGGGGGGGGCAAGCGUUGUUCGGAAUUACUGGGCGUAAAGGGCUCGUAGGCGGCCAACUAAGUCAGACGUGAAAUCCCUCGGCUUAACCGGGGAACUGCGUCUGAUACUGGAUGGCUUGAGUUUGGGAGAGGGAUGCGGAAUUCCAGGUGUAGCGGUGAAAUGCGUAGAUAUCUGGAGGAACACCGGUGGCGAAGGCGGCGACCUGGGUAGAUACUGACGCUGAGGCGCGAAAGCGUGGGGAGCAAACAGG